rnacentral:rRNA from 1 species
AAAACUCUAAGCGGUGGAUCAGUCGGCUCAUAGGUCGAUGAAGAACGCAACAAACUGUGCGUCAUCGUGUGAACUGCAGGACACAUGAACAUCGACAUUUUGAACGCAUAUCGCAGUCCAUGCUGUAAGACUAUGUAGUAAGACUACGCUAAUUAAGUUGUUUAUAAAUUUUAUAAGCAAAUGGUAUAUUAUUGGAUAAAAUAAUAAAAAUAUUUUUAUUCAUAAUAUUAAAAAAUAUAUAUGAAAAACAUUAUCUCACAUUUGGAUGUGAAAAACGAAUAGAAAUAUUUUCUUUUUCGAUCAAGUAAUACUGAGAAAUGUCUAGCAUAAAAAAUUUAAUUAUUUUUCAUCUAGAAUUGUCUCUUAUUAAUGAUUCGGAAAUAUAAAAAACUUGGUUGUUAUUAUUCUUCGUUGGUUCGUUUAAUGGAAAACACUUUGCUACAAGAAAUAAUGGAAAUUUUAUAACAAAUUUAAUAAAAUGUUUUUAUCAAGAAUUAAUUAUAAAGAAUUAAUGGCAAGAAAAAGUUAUAUACAACCUUAACUCUCAUGGGACUACCCCCUGAAUUUAAGCAUAUUAAUUAGGGGAGGAAAAGACUCUAACAAGGAUUUUCUUAGUAGCGGCGAGCGAAAAGAAAACAGUUCAGCAUUAAGUCACUUUGUCUAUAUGGCAAAUGUGAGAUGCAGUGUAUUUAGCGUCAAUAUUCUAGUAUGAGAAAUUAACGAUUUAAUGAUUUACCCAUAGAGGGUGCCAGGCCCAUAUAACGUUAAUGAAUACUAGAUGAUGUUUCCAAAGAGUCGUGCUGCUUGAUAGUGCAGCACUAAGUGGGUGGUAAACUCCAUCUAAAACUAAAUAUAACCAUGAGACCCAUAGUAAACAAGUACCGUUAGGGGAAAGUUGAAAAUAACUCUGAAUAGAUAGUUAAACAGUACGUGAAAUGCUUAGAGGUUAAGCCCGAUGAACCUGAAUAUCAGUUAUGUAAAAUUCAUCAAUAAAAUUGUAUUAUUUAAAUAAUAUUAUGGGAUAGUGUGCAUUUUUUGGAUAUAAGGACAUUGUAAUCUAUUAGCAUAUACAAAAUUUAUCAUAAAAUAUAACUUAUAGUUAUAAUUUUAUAAUGGCUUUGAUUUUUGUGUUUAUUAUAUGCACUUGUAUGAAUAACAAUGCGAAAGAUUCAGGAUACCUUCGGGACCCGGUUUGAAACACGGACCAAGUCUAACAUAUCUAUGUCUAACAUAUAUGCAAGUUAUUGGAAUAUAUACCUAAUAGCGUAAUUAACUUGACUAAUAAUGGGAUUAGUUUUUUAACUAUUUAUAGCUAAUUAACACAAUCCCGGGGCGUUCUAUAUAGUUAUUUAUAAUGUAUAUUUAUAUUAUUUAUGCCUCUUACUGGAACGUACCUUGAGCAUAUAUGCUGUGACCCGAAAGAUGGUGAACUAUACGUGAUCAGGUUGAAGUCAGGGGAAACCCUGAUGGAAGACCGAAAUAUUUCUGACUUGCAAAUCGCUUGCCAGAAUUGAGUAUAGGGGCAAAAGACCAAUCGAACCAUCUAGUAGCUGGUUCCUUCCGAAGUUUCCCUCAGGAUAGCUGGUGCAUUUUAAUAUUAUAUAAAAUAAUCUUAUCUGGUAAAGCGAAUGAUUAUAGGCCUUACGAUCGAAACGAUCUUAACCUAUUCUCAAACUUUAACUGGGUAAGAACCUUAACUUUCUUGAUAUGUAGUUCAAGGUUAUGAUAUAAUGUGCCCAGUGGGCCACUUUUGGUAAGCAGAACUGGCGUGGGAUGAACCAAACGUAAUGUUACGGUGCCCAAAUUAACAACUCAUGCAGAUACCAUGAAAGGCGUUGGUUGCUUAAAACAGCAAGACGGUGAUCAUGGAAGUCGAAAUCCGCUAAGGAGUGUGUAACAACUCACCUGCCGAAGCAACUAGCCCUUAAAAUGGAUGGCGCUUAAGUUGUAUACCUAUACAUUACCGCUAAAGUAGAUGAUUUCUAUUACUUGUGAUAUAAAUUUUGAAACUUUAGUGAGUAGGAAGGUACAAUGGUAAGCGUAUAAGUGUUUGGCGUAAGCCUGCAUGGACCUGCCAUUGGUACAGAUCUUGGUGGUAGUAGCAAAUAAUCGAAUGAGACCUUGGAGGACUGAAGUGGAGAAGGGUUUCGUGUGAACAGUGGUUGAUCAGGAGUUAGUCGGUCCCAAGUUCAAGGCGAAAGCCGAAAAUUUUCAAGUAAAACAAAAAUGCCAAAUUAUAUAAACAAAGCGAAAAUAAUACACUUGAAUAAUUUUGAACGAAAGGGAAUAUGGUUCCAAUUCCGUAACCUGUUGAGUAUCCUUUUGUUAUGGGUCUCGUGCUCAUCCUGGCAACAGGAACGACCAUAAAAAAGCCGUCGAGAGAUAUCGGAAGAGUUUUUCUUGCUGUACUACGAUGGAAGUCUUUCGCAGAGAGAUAUGGUAGAUGGGCUAGAAGACCAUGACAUAUACUGUUGUGUCGAUAUUUUCUCCUCGGACCUUGAAAAUUUAUGAUACGCAACCUUCUCAACAGGCCGUACCAAUAUCCGCAGCUGGUCUCCAAGGUGAAGAGUCUAUGUCAACAGAAUAAUGUAGGUAAGGGAAGUCGG